rnacentral:rRNA from 1 species
UACGAAGGGUGCAAACGUUGCUCGGAAUUAUUGGGCGUAAAGCGCACGUAGGCGGCUUGGCAAGUCGGAUGUGAAAUCCCUCGGCUCAACCAAGGAAGUGCAUCCGAAACUGCUGAGCUUGAGUACUUAAGAGGAUCGCGGAAUUCCCGGUGUAGAGGUGAAAUUCGUAGAUAUCGGGAAGAACACCCGUGGCGAAGGCGGUUCUCUGGGACGGUACUGACGCUGAGACGCGAAAGCGUGGGGAGCGAACAGG